ACAAGCAGAGCAUCACAUUCCCUAGCCAUUUCCAUGUUUCUUACUGAUUUCUCAUAAGAAAAGAAUAGAAAUCAAAAGCUACAUUCAAUUAAUGUAUACAUUAUUUUGUUCCCUUGGAUACAAACCAAAACACUUCUGGGGAUCUGGGCUCAUACAUUAUCCUGUUUUUGAGCUGUAGGCUUUUGCAACUUAGUGAUUGAUCUCAGGGGUGGGAUUUAAAAUUUUUAGCUACUGGUUCUCUGCCCCGUUACUGGGUGGACAUGGCCUACUCAGCCUCCUGCACCAUGGCUCCAGAGGAUUUUCUCAAGCCUCUGGGAGGGUGAAAAGUGCCUCCCCUGAGCUCUGGAAACAGGUCCAUUUCCGGACCUCUGAGAGACCCGUUUUUCACCCUCCCAGAGCCUCUGCACAAGCCCUGCAUUUAGCUGGCAUCCAAAACGGGCCGAGUAGAGACUCGUGGGAGGGGUGGAGCGGGGUGGGUAAGGCGGGGCCAGCAAGUCCUUUCAACUACCAGUUCCGCAAACCAGAUGCAAAAUUAGCAUCCAGUUCGCCCAAACCAAUCCGAACUGGCUAAAUCCCACCCCUGAUUGAUAUUCUAGGUUUCUGUAUCCAAAUUGCCCAUAUGGUAUUUCUGGCCAGCGUUGUCAGAAUUAUUCAUUUGAAUCCCUUUUAAUACAGCCUUAAAACUCUUGGUAUUUUGCUCAGGCUUCUAAUAUGGACUGCACAUGCCCAUGAAUGGAGUCAUCCUUUUUCUUUCAUAGGAGCACUGUGAACCAGAGAAGCGAACUGUGGAAUUGAUUCCACUUGCCAAAUGUGCAUUGACUACCGGAUACAACUAUUUAUGCCCCUUACAACUGAGUAAAUCAGUCUAACACAUGCGGAGAGCACCAGGAUCUGCACUGAAGAAACUAUUUUCUUACUCUUCCAGUAUAAGCUACAAGAUUUGUCAUGAAGGAGGACCACACAUCAAACACUCCUCGGGACCCUAAAUGCUACAUUUUGGCACCCUGAACAGGGACCCAUACUUCGUCCAGGGAAGGACAGAUGCGUCGUCAGCCUAAGGGCUUCUCAACCUAUCAAGGUUUCUGUAAGUAUGGGAUCUUCGCUUUCUCAGGAACAAAGGAAGCAUGUUAAUGAGUUGGGUUAUCUUCUUAAGAAGUCUGAGUUAUCUGUUUCACAAAAGGCUCUUUUUCGGCUGGUCCGUGAAAUUGCUUUAAAUUGUCCUUUCUAUCCUGUACAAGGCUCUCUGAAGUUGUCAGACUGGGAAAAAGUUGGCAAGGUUUUGCAUUCUGAGCCGAGGAAAGAUAUAGAUAUUUUGCAUGCUUGGCAUUUGUGUCGUUAUGCUAUAGAAAUGUUUGGUCAGAAAGAAUAUUCUGUUUCUUUCUUAUCAUCCCCUCCCUCUCAACAUUCUUCUACUACUGUGAUUUUUCCUCCGUUGUCUGAAAAAGAAAUUUCGUCUUUUGAUCUUAAAUCUAAGUCUGAAAUAACACCUUCUUCUGCUUCUUCUGACAUUGUGUUAAAGCCUCCCCCUCCUCCUAUUCCCCCUCCUCUUUCUCUUCCUCCUAUUCCCCAUCCUUCUGCUAAUAUUCUUCCAAAGUCUGCUUUUCAGAAAAUGGUAGAAAGUUGUAAAUAGGAUGUUAAUAUUUCUGGAGAAGAGUUAGCGGAAUUGUUGUGUGUGUGUCCGAUUUAGUAUCAACCAGGCCUACAACCAGGUCAGCAGAUUGCUGAAUGGGAAGGUUUGCCAUUUCAGAUUUUAAGGGAGUUAAAGAAGGCUAUUUCUGAUUAUGGUAUUACUGGAAAUUUUACUAGAGGUCUUUUGGAAGGAAUUGAGAGUGGUUGUUCUGUGAUGCCUCAAAAUUGGAGAUGGAUGUUUCGUGUGAUUUUUACUUCUGUGCAGUGUGUUGUUUGGGAAAGUGAAUUUUUGUGUUAUUCUCAUGCAGCUGCUUGGAAUUGUUUCAAAUGUGGAAAAUCAGGUCAUUGUCAGAAAGAUUGUCGUUCAACACCAUUUAGUGGUGGUUGACUACCAUUGUACAGAAUUUCCUAAGUGCAAAAGUGAAGUUAUUAAACAGGAUGUGUUUGUUUUAAAUUUCCUUUAGAAGUGAAACUGGUUUCUUCUCAAUAUACUGGUCCUCUUCCUUCUGGUUUGGUUGGCAUAAUCCUACCACGUUCUUCUGCUCAUAAAUUGGGAUGAUUUGUAGUUCCUGGAGUUAUUGAUUCUGAUUACACUGGAGUGAUUCUUAUGCAAAUUUGGGUUAACAUUCCACAUUUUCUUCCUAAAGGAUCUUCUGUAGCACAACUUCUUUUGCUUCCCUAUAAGGUAUCUAACCCAGGUACUGGAAAUCGUGGUGAUUCUGGAUUUGGUUCAACUCUUACUUCUAUAGGACUCCUGCAGUCUUUUACUUCUCAUAGGCCACUUCUUAAACGUGAUGUUAAUUCCUUGUGGGGCAUUGGUGGGUCUACAACUGCUUGGCAAAGCAUUCAUUCCAUAGCCAUCACAACUUCUGCUGGUAAGUCUGUAUCUUUACAUCCUUACAUUUUAGGUAUUCAUACUAAUAUUUGGGGUAGGGAUGUAUUCAACCAAUGGGGCCUUUACAAUGUGGUCUUCCUAAUCCUAAUUUAAUCCCACAGUUUUAUAAACUAUUAGUUGUGGAUUUGAAGGAUUGUUUUUUCACUAUUCCUUUACAGUCACAGGAUAAAGAAAAAUUUGCUUUUACUGUGCCUGUUUUAAAUAAUAGUCAACCUACACAACAAUUUCAUUGGUGUGUCUUACCACAAGGUAUGCUCAAUUCUCCUACUAUUUGUCAAUAUUUUGUGGAUCAAGUUUUACAACUUUUUCGUGAUCAAUUUCCUUCUUAUCUAGUUUACCAUUACAUGGAUGAUAUUUUAAUUGCAGGUUCAGAUCUUGAUGAAGAACAAGUGCUACAAACAUUGACUACCAUUGUAGCAGAGGGUUUUUCAUAGCUCCUGAAAAAAUACAACGUUCUGAACAAUAUUCAUAUUUAGGUUUUAAAGUUUUACAAUCUUUUUCCAUUCCUAUCUUACCUGAACUUAAGGUGCAAUCUUUGUAUACUUUGGUUCAGUGGCAAAAACUUUUAGGUACAAUCAAUUGGGCUCGUCCAUAUUUUAAAAUUUCUACAGGAGAAAUGUUACCUCUUUUCUCUCUAUUAAAAGGUUCCAAAAAUCCUGGAGAUUUAGUUUCGCUUACUGUUUUGCAAAAGAAAUGUCUCCAGGUUGUUCCAAAUAAACUUAAAUUGGGAUACGUUGAUAGAAUUGUUUCUAUAGCUAAGAAAUUAUGGUUAGCAAUUCUUCCUACUUCACCUUUACCUACUGGUUGUCUUUAUUCUAUUUUGGAUGAAAAAGUGAUUCAUAUUCAUGAAUGGUUGAAUUUGUCCUAGAAAUAUUUUUCCUUAUCAACAGGCUUUAGAAGAAUUGAUUAUGAAAGCAUGACGAAGAUCUUUGCAAUUAAUAAGUCAUGAUCUGGAUGGAAUAGCUUUCACUCGUACUAAACUUGAACAUGAACAUUUGAUGACUGUUUCUGAUUCAUAUCAAAUUGCCUUUUCACACUACCUUGGUGAUAUUCAAUAUUCUUUACCUAAAAAUCCUAGAAUAGUUAUUACAAAUACAUUGAAUCUUUCAUUUUCUUCUAUUUUUACUCGUUCUCCUCUUCCUGAAGCAUUAACAAUUUUCACAGAUGGAUCACGCACUCAUGGAGUUGUGGUUUGGACGGAUGGUCAACAAUGGUUUUCUAAAUUCACUUCCGUUCAGACAUCUGCCCAACGUUCUGAGUUGGCAGCUGUUAUUUUGGCUCUGAGAUUAUUUUCUGAUCAGCCUAUUAACUUGAUUGUUGAUACCAAAUAUGUUUUUCUUGCAAUGCAAUCUCUUCCUUAUGCUUAUUGUGCUGUUUCUCUUGACAUUAAUCUUUUGUCUUUAUUUUUAUAUUUAAAACAUGUUUUGGAAGAAUGUGUCUUUCCUUUAUAUGUUGAGCACAUUAGGAGCCAUUCUCCUUUUCAAAAUCCUUUGACAGAAGAAAAUAAACAAGCUGAAGUCAUGACUCUUUUUUCAGAUCCUGUUGCUAGUCAUUCAUAUUUUCAUCAAAAUGCUAAAUCUUUGGCUAAACACUUUUCUGUUCCUUUUCCUAUGGGAACAAAAGCUAAUCAAAUUUGGCAAAUGGAUGUCACACAAUUUGCUACCUUUAAACCAUACACUUAUUUACAUGCAUCCAUUGAUACAUAUUCUCAUUUUUUGUGGGUCACUGCUGCUAGACAUGAGCGCAUUUUUGAUGCAAUGUCUCAUUGUCUUUCUGCUUUUUCUGUAAUGGGCUGACCAAUUCAAUUAAAAACUGAUAAUGGUUCUGCGUAUACUAGCAAGGACUUUAAUUCUUUUUGUCAACAAUGGAACAUUCAAUUGAUACAUGGAAUUCCUUACAAUUCUCAAGGGCAAGCUAUAAUUGAGUGAGCUCAUCGUACAUUCAAAGCUACAUUAACUAAAUUAGUAAAAACUGAAUCAGGUCCCUUCAAUUUGAGAAAAAUUCAAAAUUUGAUCUCUACUGCUCUUUACGCAUGGAAUUACUUAACUUUUCUAGAUUCCUUUUCAGAUAUUCCAGUCAAGUUUUAUUUUCAGACGUCCCCAGGUUAUAAGUUGAUCGUGGUUAUAAAUUGGACAUGGUUACGCUGCAGUUGAAGAUUUGCAAACAAAGCAAGCUGUGUGGAUUCCAGGCCGGUGUGUUCAUCCUUAUCAUGGAAAAACAAAUGAAAGAUCCAAGGAUGCAACGUCCUCCAAUCUUGCCUUGGAAUCACAUUGAAGAUCAACAUCAAUUGAAAAAAUCCUUUUUUCUCAUGUGUUGUUUUCUCUUUUUCUUUCCGGUUUCUACUAACUCGGAAAGAACUCUUGCUUUUCCUCUUAGUCCUAAUCUUUGGAUUCGUCACGCUCAAUGUAUGUUUUUGAUUCAUGGUUGUAAUAUAACUUUAUAUUAUGAACCUCCUAUGGCUCUUGGUCAAGUUGCUUUUAUUCCUAAUCUAAUUAAUUCUUCUACUUUCAUUGUUUCGCAACUUCAACAUAUUUCUUCUUCUUGGUUAUUUUCUACUCCUCCUCAUGAAUUAAAUUUAGUUAGAUGGAAGUAUAUUCGCAUUAACCAAUUUACUAGAGGCUUAUGUUUUUGUUGUUAUGCUCAUCAUAAUUGGCUUAAUCAAUGGUCUGAUUACCCAAAAGCUAAAUGUAUUUUAGAUAAAGUAGAGAAUUAUAGUUACUCAGAAAUAUUGGUUAUGGGGUACUAUUAAAACAUCACAAGUUCACAACACCAUACCUGGUAUGUAUCCUGAAAAUUUUCCUAUUUUUCAAACUGUCUCUUCUAAUACUGGAACAGGUGGAUCAAUCUGUGCUGGAUGGCAAUUGAAAGAUCCUGCAAUGUGGUUUUUCUUUGACAAAUAUGCAACUAAUGUACAUCCUCAGAACUAUCAAAGUGCUGCCAUUGGAUAUUUGUCUUUACCUGUACAAGUGGGUGUUUCUGGAAGUUUAUCAACUCGAAAAAGACGUGCAGCCUUGGGAUCAAAAUGUUCUGAUGAAGUUAUUAUUGAUAUUCAAUUUUCUUCAUUGUCUACUUUUGGACGUGCAUUAGUUGCAGCCAUAACUGGAACUAUUUCUUUGGGAUCAUACCCAGGAAUAUUAGCUCAAGAAAAUAGAUAUUCUAUUUUAGGUCUCACAUGCCGAUUGGAGAAAUCUAUUAAUGCUACUGCUGCAAUUAUUAGAGAUUUGCAAAAUGAAAUUGAAGAACUUAAUCAAGAUUUAAUUCAACAACGCUUUGCUAUAGACCAUUUGCUAGCUUGUCAAAGUGGAUUUUGCAGCUUAGUUGGUCAAUGUGCUUGUGCUGUGCAUUUUCAUUCACUUAAUAAAACUAUUGAAGAUGAAUUAGCUAAUUUACAAGCUUCUAUAAAAAAUAAUGUACAUGAUGAAUUUUCUCCUUAUGCUUGGUUAACUAAAUGGUUACCUGAUAUUUCUUGGUUAAAACAAUUGUUUUUCUUUGGUGUGAACAUAAUCGCAUUACUUAUACUUUGCUGUUGCUGUAUGCAAUGUGUUCCUUCAUUUUUUGCCAUGUUUCGCAAGUCUCCUGAACCUACUUUGAAUGUGAUUCAAAUGCAUGCUCUUGAAAAAUCUCUUUUUUCGUCAUUAAAGGAGUACACUAAAACUAACAAUUAAAAAUGUUCUACAAAACA